rnacentral:rRNA from 1 species
GGACCGGAGUGGACGCAUCACUGGUGUUCGGGUUGUCAUGCCAAUGGCACUGCCCGGUAGCUAAAUGCGGAAGAGAUAAGUGCUGAAAGCAUCUAAGCACGAAACUUGCCCCGAGAUGAGUUCUCCCUGACUCCUUGAGAGUCCUGAAGGAACGUUGAAGACGACGACGUUGAUAGGCCGGGUGUGUAAGCGCAGCGAUGCGUUGAGCUAACCGGUACUAAUGAACCGUGAGGCUUAACCUUACAACGCCGAAG